AUACGUAGGUGGCAAGCGUUGUCCGGAAUUAUUGGGCGUAAAGCGCGCGCAGGCGGUCCUUUAAGUCUGAUGUGAAAGCCCACGGCUCAACCGUGGAGGGUCAUUGGAAACUGGGGGACUUGAGUGCAGAAGAGGAAAGUGGAAUUCCAAGUGUAGCGGUGAAAUGCGUAGAGAUUUGGAGGAACACCAGUGGCGAAGGCGACUUUCUGGUCUGUAACGGACGCUGAGGCGCGAAAGCGUGGGGAGCAAACAGGAUUAGAUACCCUGGUAGUCCACGCCGUAAACGAUGAGUGCUAAGUGUUAGGGGGUUUCCGCCCCUUAGUGCUGCAGCUAACGCAUUAAGCACUCCGCCUGGGGAGUACGGUCGCAAGACUGAAACUCAAAUGAAUUGGCGGGG
rnacentral:rRNA from 1 species